GAUGAACGCUGGCGGCGUGCCUAAUACAUGCAAGUCGAGCGAACAGACGAGGAGCUUGCUCCUCUGACGUUAGCGGCGGACGGGUGAGUAACACGUGGAUAACCUACCUAUAAGACUGGGAUAACUUCGGGACACCGGAGCUAAUACCGGAUAAUAUAUUGAACCGCAUGGUUCAAUAGUGAAAGACGGUUUUGCUGCCACUUAUAGAUGGAUCCGCGCCGCAUUAGCUAGUUGGUAAGGUAACGGCUUACCAAGGCAACGAUGCGUAGCCGACCUGAGAGGGUGAUCGGCCACACUGGAACUGAGACACGGUCCAGACUCCUACGGGAGGCAGCAGUAGGGAAUCUUCCGCAAUGGGCGAAAGCCUGACGGAGCAACGCCGCGUGAGUGAUGAAGGUCUUCGGAUCGUAAAACUCUGUUAUUAGGGAAGAACAAAUGUGUAAGUAACUAUGCACGUCUUGACGGUACCUAAUCAGAAAGCCACGGCUAACUACGUG
rnacentral:rRNA from 1 species